rnacentral:tRNA from 1 species
GGACUUGUAGCUCAGAUGGGUAGAGCAUACGUUAAUAAAAUAUGAAGGACAUAUUUAAUAAUGUAAAGGUUGUAGGUUCAAAUCCUAUCAAGUCCA